CAACUAUCAGUCUGUGCAGACUUUAAACUUAUCCUUUUUCUUACCUUGGCUUUGUCUGCUUACUCGAGAAGCAAAACCACUCGAUCCCAAAGGCGUGUAUGUGUUUAUAAUGUUUUUAGUUAAUAUUUCAUUUAUCAUAACUAGUAAGAUGUUAACUAUCAAAUUUCAUGACUAUCAAAUUUCAUGUGCUUUUCCCUAGCGCUUUAGUGUCUUUUUGUUUUCAGAUAAAGAGGAAAGGAGAGAUUUUGUGCUGUGGUUUUGGUUUUUGAAAAAUGGCUUCAGCUCUGUUACUGGUGGUGGUGUUUGUGUUUGAUCUGGUUGCUUUUGCUUUUGCCGUUGCUGCUGAGCAGAGGAGGAAUACUGUGAGUUUCUCUUUCCUUUUUUUUCCUUUCUGUCUGUCUGCGUGUUGAAUUUUUAAUCUUUUUUCUUUGAAUUUAUGUUGUUUGGCUAUAUGGGUCCUUAGAGCUGUUGUUGCUUUCUGUGUUUUACAUGUAGGAGUGUUCUGCUAAACAGUGUAAAUUAGGAAGAAGUCUUUAGCAUACUCUUCUAUUUCAGUUCGAUAUCGAUUGGUAAAAUUUAUUACUUGUUUAUGCCUGAGAACUGAAGAUAAAAGUCCCAAGAAGAACAGUUAACGGGAAAGAUUCCGUCUCAAUUCUCAAAUACUUGUAAAAUUCUGUUCUAGGUUUGAUGCAAAUCAGGGGAUCUAUGCGUUGUAUCUGCUUGGCCAUGGCUUAUUAAAUGUUUGCUAAUUCCUGUUUUCCAAACUAUAUUUGAUUUUGAACUUUAGAGGCUUAUACUCUACUAGUUUAUUUUCGAUUCGAAGGUCAUGAACUGUAUGGAGCAGCUAAGAUAUAACCUAAAAGCAAGUCUCUGAUGGUCUCCCUGAAAGAAUUAACUAGAGGAUAAUUUGUCAAUCUACGUAUUUAAUCUUCACAUUUCAGUAGAAACUAGAAGGAGUUGCGCUUAGAGUCUCCCCAUCAAUGCACAUUAACAGAACGGAAGGUCUUUCAUAGAAUUCUCAUUGACAUUCAGUGACUUAUUAACAUGCAAAGAAUCCGAUAGAGAUAAUUUAUAACUUCACAAUAGCAAGAUACUAAGCUCUAGUACUUUCAAAGAGAUAUGUUAAACUUCCUGUGCAUUUGUAUUGAGUUUUGUAAGCCUAUUAUUAUAUGUUCAUGUGCUUUGGUUCUGUCAGAUGAUGGAUGUGACCAACAACAAUCCCCUUCCCCUAUUCCUGAAGUUGAUUGUUCAUUGUUCCUUAAUCUCUCUCCAUCUUGGUGAAAAGCAGUCUCUUUACUUUUUUUUUUCUUUUUUUGUCAAAGUAAAAAGAUCCAUAUAGGUGACCUCAACUAGAUUGGAAUUAAUGCGACAUUGUUGUUGUCACUGUGGGUAGAUGAGGAUGGUUUCUUUUGCUUUUGGUUCGUAAUGGACUCAAGUAAUGGGAUUGAAUUAAAUUAUGCCUCCAUCCAUAACCUUUUUUUUGUUCAUAUAACUCAAGGAGAUGAGCAAUUGCAGAUUGCACCUUAACCUUGUAUUAUUUGAAAAGCGUCUGCCAACAUAUAAUUUCCUUGUCUUCUUUUACAGGCAGAGGUCAUCACACAAGAAGAUUAUAAGUACUGUAAAUAUGAUUCAGAUGUUGCAACUGGAUUAGGUGCUGGUGCGUUCGUGGCCCUUAUGGCUAGUCAAAUCCUAAUAAUGGUGGCAAGUAGAUGUUUGUGCUGUGGAAAGGCCAUGAGACCAAGUGGGUCUAGAACCUGGGCAAUUGUUCUAUUUAUCACCUGCUGGUAUGUGCCCAGCCUAACUUAGAAGAUGAGUCUCAUUCUAUCUGCUAACAAAUCUUGUGUAAGAAAAAUCUUGGCAUUCUAUUUCCCAUUUUCACUAAUUUGCUCUCUACAUUCUUAUGUCAGGGUAUUCUUUUUCAUUGCUGAGGUCUGCUUGUUAGCGGGUUCUGUUCGGAAUGCCUACCACACCAAGUACUACUUGUCAUCAGACCCUAACCUAUCAUGCCGGCAACUGAGAAAGGGUGUCUUUGGGGCUGGAGCUGCAUUUGUUGUCCUUACAGGCAUAGCAUCUGAGCUUUUCUAUGUAUCCUAUUCAAGGGCAAAUGACGGUCAGUCUUCAUAUAACAGAGACACUGGUGUGAGGAUGGGGAACCUAUAACUCAGUUCAGUUGGAGCGAGAGGCAAGAAAUAUUUCUAGCAUGGAACUUGUAUAUCAUGAAUGUGGACAUUUAACAGUUAACAUAGACACAUUAAGGUGUUUGAUUGUCUACUAUAGUCUUCUUUUUUUUCCCCUAUUUCUUCCAUUACCCAUUGUAGUUCGAAGAAAAAAAAGAAGUAGAAAUAUUGCCAACGGAGCUCCGCUUCGCCUCAACAAGAAGGAAGUCUAAGAUAAUCUUUGGUAUUGCAUUCUUUUUUUCAGUACAAUUACUUCCGAUUAGGACUCUGAAUUUGAGAUUUUAUAGUCCUGAAUAUGAUUACUCUAGUACGAUAUGGUACUCUUAGUUCAUGAGAAGAAAUUUUUUAAAACUGUAAGUUGAUAGUGUUGAGUUUACGGACUCUGGGAAAUUCUUGCUUAACUCGAUUAAUCGUUGAUUCGAGACAUAAAUAUGUGAGAUUUAUAUAUUAGUGUACGAGUCUCAUUAUCAUUUAUUUUUUAUUUUAAAUCUAUGUGGAAUGAGUUUAAAUAAAAAAAAUCCUACAGUCGCUUUAUCUCGUUCAAGUGAAGAAGUAUUGUCCGACAAUGAAGGCUGG
rnacentral:misc_RNA from 1 species